rnacentral:rRNA from 1 species
UACGUAGGGGGCAAGCGUUAUCCGGAUUUACUGGGUGUAAAGGGAGCGUAGACGGCAAUGCAAGUCUGGAGUGAAAGGCGGGGGCCCAACCCCCGGACUGCUCUGGAAACUGUAUAGCUGGAGUGCAGGAGAGGUAAGUGGUAUUCCUAGUGUAGCGGUGAAAUGCGUAGAUAUUAGGAGGAACACCAGUGGCGAAGGCGGCUUACUGGACUGUAACUGACGUUGAGGCUCGAAAGCGUGGGGAGCAAACAGG